CUGGGAUUAUAGGCGUGAGCUACCACGUCCAGCCUAACCGCAUGUUUCCUAUACUAACAAAACUACACUUCUGCCUCAAAUGAGAACAGUCUCCUGAACAUCUUACCUCCUUGCCUUAGUCAAAGCCUCAGGUCUAAGCCUCCCCAGAAUUUCUAGUCUCAGCAGAAAGAUCAAUGACAGGAGACUCUCCAGGUGAUGAAAUUAACCAAUUCAGUAACCUGAGUUGGCAUCCUCCCAUUUGUUCACCAGCUCACCUCGUGCCACAGGUAUAUCCUAUUUCUCUCAGCCAUAUAGGCACAAACCCUCUCCCCAGGGCACACACAGAGGAAUUUGGAAGAUGAGAAAAUCAGGCAAGGCAUAGCACACCUUGAGGGCUGGAGUAUGGUAGCCUAAGCCUGGACAUCCAUACAUGGAGAACUUGACUAUGUGCAGGCAAAUCACAGGUUCUACAUACAUACAAUUUUUUGUUCUCCCUGAGAACUUACUAGAGUCUUUUGUAGAAUUCUAGCUUCAUUCCAUUGCUUUCACAUUGGCCAGCAGUCAGAAACCUAGUUACAAAUAUCCUCCAUGCAGUCCCUGGGUGAGGGCUCCUGGGGACAAUGGUUAGGGCUCAGGAGAGGGUGGAGUUUUUGCACAGAUGUCUGCCCCACCCAGCUCAGUGUGACACUCCAGGCACAGAGAUAGAAGCCAGAGUCACUGAGGAGGAGCUUCUUAGAACUCAGGAUGAACUGCCUGUCCUGGGGCCUGGAGGCUGAGAGAUUCUGGGGCACCUCAGAGCUGAUCUGGUCAACACCAAUGGAGUAGAAGAGCAGCUGGAGGCCCCUGCCUGCAGCCUGUCGGUACCAGUAUAGGUUGGGGUUUGAUGUUCCCUCCACAGUGCACUCCAGAGACAGCGGGCUGCCCACAGGCUGCACCAGGGUUGCUGGCCAUUGAUGAACAGUCUGAGAUCUGACCCCUGUGGGAAAGAUAAAGUGCCAUUUACAGAGGAGCACCCCAACCUGGCUUGCCUUCCCCAGACAGAGGGCCAGCUCAAGCUCUUGCAUGGCACAGGCACCUGGAAUCCAUCAUGGGGAGUAGACCGGGGGAGCCAAGGAUGCAAAGCGUCAUUGGGCCAGGGAAGACCAACAGAACAAACUCCUUCCCAGGAGAUAGAGAGAACCAAGAAUCAUCAGAUCAGCCCUUAAGGCUGAAGCCCCAUAUCUGUUCCAGACAAUCAGAGGAAUAGACUCAGGAGUGUCAAACCAACAGCUCAGACUCUGCAUUCACAGGAUUGCAGUGAGAGCAAGGAUGAGAAAAGAGGCUUGAGGGAGAGGAGGGCACCCACCGAAGAAAGUGCCCAGGAGAAGGGCAAGGGGAGAGCAGAGCAUCAUCCAAGCCAGCCUUUCCUUCAGCUAGUCUGGGGGACAGACGCCUCCUCUUCUGGGCCAGUGACGUGGUCAGGCCGCUCCCUCUGGGAGAUCUGCUGCCAGAGCAGAGGAAUCUACCCCUUGAGCUGGGGAGGAAACCAGACUAGUCUUGUUUUAAGAGUGUGGUGAAUCACCCCCAGCCUCCCUGGGAACCAGCUGUACUCUGCACUUGGUAUCUUCUUUGCAUUUCUGCUGACAUCCUGGAAAGGGAUGAGAGAGAGGUGGAGAGAGAAGAAAUGGAAACUCAAAAGUUUUGAUGGCAGAGGAAAAUUGUGCUUAUUCCAGAAUGAGAUGAACAAGGUCCUGGGUCCUUACAUGUCAUACUGGCUAGAGACUGAAGUCUUUGAAAGCCUUGGAGAUAACUAAUCAGAAAAUGAAGGAAGCCUUCCACCACUGAGUUUCAGGGCAAAGGGAAGAAACAAGAUAAAGCAGAACGUCAGUACAAGUGGAAUUAUUAAUGACGUCCAAAUGCAGAAGCAUUAAAUACUAUCAGGCUUAUUUAUUGACUCCUGAUAUCAAGAGUGAACAACCCCCUGGCCAAAUGGGAACUUGUUCGGUAGCCUUUAUCUUUCUAUCACUCAU